CCCAGCAAUCUUAGUCCCUGUCAUUUUAGUUGUGAGCCCAGAGGCCACACUGAUGAUUGUCUUCAUUUUAAAGCACAGAAUGUAUCCCCUUCUGAGAAAGAAGGUAAAGCAGAAGGAGCUGGGUAGUUGGAUUCUCUGGGGGUCUCAACUGCAUGAUCUAGGCUGACUUUGAACUCAUGGCAGUUCUCCUGCCUCAACCUCCCAACUGCUGGGAUUCCAGGCAUGUACCACCAUCCUUGGCCUGGAAAUAUCUUUUUAAAUUGCUUCAUCUUUAAGGGCUGUUUAGUCAUACUGAAACAAUUUAAAGACUUUCAUUCACUAAGAAAAUAAAAUACCAGUUUGUAAGAAACAUACAAUUUUUUUUCUCCUUUGGUAAAUAAGGAAUCUUGUCUUCACAAGACAAAAGGUCAUUGCCUGAUAAAUAGAUGGCAGAAUUUACAGGAGAAAAACAUUAAGUUUCCACAAAUGGUAAAGGAAAUGUUGAGUCAGAAUGACAUACGUGUCCUGGAUUUUUUUCUUCGAAGUGACUUUUGGCUGUUACAUGCUUACUUCCGGUGGCAAUAUAAUCUCACAGAUGAGCUCAGAGAAAUUCCUUAUACAUUGAAAAUUACAAAAAAAAAAAAAAAAGAUUUUCUUUCAGUUACACUUACAUUGGAGAAAAACAGCAGAUUGCCAAAACAUUUCCACUCUCCUGUUUUUUAAAAAAUUUAUUUAUUUAAAAAUUUUCUUAGAACUGGGAAUCAAAUUCAGGACCUUGCACUUGCCAGGCAGUUGCUGUGCUGCUAAGCUGUAUCCCUGGACCAAUUUACCUCUUUAUUAUUUGAGUACAAAGAGAGUGCAUAAAGGACAAGCUUUUCUUGGACCAUUGGGAGAAAUCUCCAGCUUGCUGUAAGGAUUUCCUAAUAAUUGUGUGCUCUGAGCAUUGAGCACUGCGAGGUCCACAGUUGUGGCAGUGGAGGGUCAGACUUGAAUGUCCAGUUAGUUGGUGCUGGCCUUUAAGGUUCCAAAACUUCCCCGAUAUGUUUGUUCUGCACUGACUCAAUAGGUUAAAACCAGGAUGAAAACAAAACCUUUCCUCAUAUAUACAUUCGUUAGAACGAAAGUAAGAGCGAAACCGUCCCGAAACUGUAGAAAAUCCUAACAUUUAUGUCGUCUGGUAGAUUGAACUAUUUGUUGGAAAAGGGAACCAGAAAGCAGACAGUGAAUAAUCCGAAAACGAAGGCGUCCCCCAGGGGCGCAGGGGGGUUCAGGUUCCCGCACUUGCCUUUGAAUGUGAAGGGAAACAGACGGUGGCCACACUUUAGUGACAGCAGAUGUAGUGUCAUUACACCUUCCUCCACAGCCCCAGGAUGCCGUAGGGUUCUCCUCCUACCUUUUAAAAAAGAGUUUUAGAGAGAGAAAAUGUUUGCUUGUCUCAAGGCUUGCCUUCCCUGAGCUGCUCAGACUGUCUUGGGUUACAGUCUCCCUUCCUUGGGCUGCCAAAACAACGCACCGCCCACUGGGUGGCUUAAACACUCCAUUUCCUCCGGAGAGGGGAUCAGAGAUCAAGGGCCUGGAGGCUGGUUUCAUCUGAGGGCUUUCUCCUCAGCGUAUGGAUGGCGCCUUCUUCCCCCCUCAUCUGUGUCUUCAAUGGCUCUCUCCACAUCGUGUCACAUGAUGAGGUCCUUGGGUAGACUUUGGUGUUUGAACUUUGCAGUGGACAUAAUUUAGCCCGUAACGUACUUGUACUUGCUUUUAUAAACCCAAGUAAAGACACGAUGUAAAGCUGUGUGUACAGAGAUCCAGGACAUGGGAGUUGGGGGUGUGUGGCAGAUGAUGAAGGACACAGGUGGCUAAUUAACCCACUGUGGGCUUCAGGAGACUGCUGAGGAGGCCUAUGAAUCCUACACUGUAUCGCCUCUUUCUCAAAGAUGCCUGGACUGGAAAGGGAUAAAGUAGAAAACCCAUGAGCAGGUGUGGACCGGGGGCCUGUGCGAGCCCGGGUGCUCAUGCUACACUGUCUCCUAGAUCACGGUAAUGGAAUUGAGUCCACCCAUGUGUGUGACUGUUUGUAAAGUGACUUCACAUCCACUCUCUGUGGUAAUGAUUGUCCCGCUCACUAUGAGGAGGGAUUAGUACCACCUGACAGAGAAAACUACAUCAUCUCAAUGGGUUCUGUUCUACAGCUCAUUGAUUUUUUUUUUUUUUGUACUGGGGAUUGAAUUUACAACCUCGUGCUUGCCAGGCAGGCACUUAUGCCACUGAGCUAAAUCCCUGGCCCUCUGGUUUCUGUUCUGUUCUGUUUCGUUUUGUUUUUGUUUUUUUGAGACAGAGUCCCACUAAGUUGUUUGGGCUGGCCUGCAUAGCCCAGGAUAGCCUGGGAUCCCAUGAAUCCUCCUCCUGCUUCAGCUACCGUAUCUGGCUCUCUCAUUUGUUCUUUCUGUCAGUCUCUUGCAAAAAUGUGUUUUGUCCAAGGCCCGUUAUAACUGACAAGUGGCAGAAAUAGUAGUCAUCUGGUUUCAAGGUCAGAAUUAAAUUUCUACUGCAAUGUGUAGAUUAGCAGGAUUUUGUUUUGUUCUUUCGGUCUUUUUGAGACAGGGUAUCAAUACGUAGUUGAGGAGGUCCUUGAACUCACUUGUGUAGCCCAUGGUGGCCUCGAACUUGCAGUAAUCCUCCUGCCUCAGUGUUCUGAUGGCCUGACCUACAGGUGUGCGCCACCACACCUGGCCUGUUUUUUUGUUGUGGUUUUGUUUUGUUUUUACAAAAUGAAAAACUUUCCUUUGACUACAACCCUUCCUAUUACUACUCAGUACUGAGUUAAGGGAAAAAUUGAAAGUAAAUGUGGAGCUUUUUAUAGCUUGUCACACCACACAAGAGUGAGGGAAGCGUCUGCAUUUGUGGGCCGGAUACACCAGUAGGAAGUAACUGCAAUUUAGAUAAUAACAACUGCUUAAAUUCUACCAUUUUGAAUGAAUCAAAUAAUACUUUUUUUUUUCCCUCAUGGCAGUUUCUGCUUAAGUUUCUCUAACACAUCUGUAGUAAGUUUCCACAAAGAGUCGGAAAUGGGUAAAUUGUGAUUAUGGUAGGGGAAAAAUGUCAGCUUUGCUAAGGAAAAUAUGAAGACACAGACACACUUGGAGAUAGUCAUUUGCUUAGGAAGAGUUACUCAGAGACAGGGUGCUGUUAGGGCAGAGCUGGUGAGUGUGGCAGUGGGGGGCGGGGGCGGGGAAACGAUGGUGGGUGGGUGGUGGUGGUAGGGGUUGGAAGGGUGGCCAGGGAAAGGGUUUUAAAUAAAAGUCAUUCUCCAGAGGCUACCACAUAAUGAUCCCGCAGAUUUUUGGUAAGUGGGUCCUUUUAGGAAGAUAAUAGGGGGGGCUGGGGGUUUAGCUCAGGGGCAUAAGCUCCUGCCUUGCAAGCAGGAGGUCCUGAGUUUGAUCCCGGUACCUAUAAAAAUGAAAAAGAAAAAAAAAAAAAAAAGGAAGAUAAUGGUUCUGUCUUCCUUUCGUUUUUAAAACUAUGAUAAUCAUAAGACAUUUAUCUCAAACAAGAUAAAGUUAAGAACUCUCGUAACUUCAGGGGACAGAACUUUGAAUUUUCACAUCCUGCCAAUACCAUGAAUAACUAUGUCUGGAAUUUUGUUUUUGUAACUAUGUUGUUUAUUUUAAAGUACCUUUAACAUCACCAGCCCUACAUUCAGUGAAUUCUUGGAGUGGAAGGACUUCUAUCUUUGAUGUCUGUAUAAAUUUUUAGAAUAGCUUAAUUAAGGUAAAGCUCAUAUAGCAUUAAUUUUCUCUUUAAAGUAAACAAUCAGAUGGUUUUUAGUAUACUCACAGAACUGUGUGACCAUCACCAUAGUAGCUUUUAGAAUGUUUUCAUCACUCGUCAGAAAGAAACACCUCUAUAAAUUUUUAAUGCUGGAGGUUACUUUGCAUUUCAAAUUUUUUUUCUAAUCUGUCAAAGUCAUAGCUGUCACCCAGCUGGAAAGAUGUGGUCUUUCACUGGGAUGUCUCCUCAUACAGCAUUAACCCUGGGCUGGGGAUAUAGCUCUGCAGUAGAGUGCUUGCCUAGCACUGGGAAAAAGCAAACAAGCAAGGAUUAGUUCAACUGUGUUGUUUAAAUUCCAGCCCAGGCAACAUUUUCUUACCCUGAUGCUCAGUGCAUCGGCCACCUGUAGAGACUCUGCUUGCCCUCACCCACUCUGUCCUGCAGGUAACAGAGGCCUUGAAUUAGGGCGAGUCCAAGUGACACACGCUCUAUAUGCAUAGUAUACACUGUCUGAGAGACUUAGCUUGAAAAAGCAAGAACAGGGGCUGGGGAUUUAGCUCAGCGGCAUAAGCGCCUGCCUUGUAAGCAGGCAGUCGUGAGUUCGAUCCCUAGUACCGAUAAAAACGAAAAAGACAAAAAAAAAAAAAAAAAAAAGCAAGAACAUAAAAAUUUCCACGAAUUGGGCUGGGGUUAGAGAUCAAGGAUAGCGUGCUUGCCUAGCACAUGUAAGGCUCUGGGUUCAAUUCUUAGCACUGGGGGCGAGAGGAAGGAAAAAAUCUUAUAUGUUGAAUAUAUGUUAAAUUACAAUAUUUUUAGAAGAUUGAAAUAAGUGGUGUAUUAAAAUUAAUUUUAUCUUUUUUUAAAAUUUUUACAUUUAUUUAUUAUUUAUUGAGACAGUCUUGCUGCGCAGUUCAGGUUGAUCUUGAACUCACUAUGUAGCCCAGGUUGGCCUCGAACUCUGAGUGAUCCUCCCAUCUCAGCCUCCUGAGAGCUGGGGUUACAGCUGUACAUCCUCGCAGAGGGCUUUAUUUCUACCUUUGAAUAUGGGGCUGCUAAAACAUUUCAAACUCCGUGUGUAGGCUUUGUUCUAUUGGACAGCGCUGGUGUGGACGGCAUGGAUGUGAAGACAUCGCCCUCUGCU